AUUGUGACAGACGAUUGCAUCAUCACAAUAUUCAAGGUUCAAUAUACAGGUUCAAUAUACAGUCAGCCUCUCAGAAGAAAAAAUCCAAAGAUCCUAGGCUUGUCAAAGUUAAGAGACCAUUCUGUGCCACAAAGAAAUUGUUCAGGAAGGGGAGAACUGGUGGAUUUGCAUUUUUGGUACAGUUCAAAGAGAUUUUCAAAAUGGUCAGAUCAGAGGGAGGACAACUGAAAAUAUUGAAAAGAUAAAGAAGGGAAAAGAAACUGGAAAUAUAUGGAAUAAUUAUGAAAUGUGGAGGAUGUAGACAACCUUUCUGAAUUUGACCUGUAAAGAUUUCCCAUUUUUAUUUGUAUGCUAGAAUAUCAAAAAACUUGAUUUUUCAUAAAUUUACAAAAGAGAAUACAUGACAAAUGUUAUUACUGAUAUUUCAAUUUUGCUGUGGACACUUUCAUGUCAUACGGUAUUUUUAUAAAAGUACAUGACCUAAUUAUUUUAUUCAUUUGUACAUGUAUACAUGUUUAACUACUUAAUCAUUUUGCUGAAAUCUUAUAAUUUGUACUCAUUUUAGAAUAUGUUAAAUACAUGUAU